GACGAACGCUGGCGGCGUGCUUAACACAUGCAAGUCGAACGGUAAGGCCCUUCGGGGUACACGAGUGGCGAACGGGUGAGUAACACGUGGGUGAUCUGCCCUGCACUUUGGGAUAAGCCUGGGAAACUGGGUCUAAUACCGAAUAGGACUCCGGACUGCAUGGUCUGGGGUGGGAAGCUUUUUGCGGUGUGGGAUGGGCCCGCGGCCUAUCAGCUUGUUGGUGGGGUGAUGGCCUACCAAGGGCGACGACGGGUAGCCGGCCUGAGAGGGUGACCGGCCACACUGGGACUGAGAUACGGCCCAGACUCCUACGGGAGGCAGCAGUGGGGAAUAUUGCACAAUGGGCGCAAGCCUGAUGCAGCGACGCCGCGUGAGGGAUGACGGCCUUCGGGUUGGUAAACCUACUUUCAGCACAGACGAAGCGCAAGUGACGGUAUGUGCAGAAGAAGGACCGGCCAA
rnacentral:rRNA from 1 species